CAGUCGCCGCGGGAAUACGAAGGGGGCUAGCGUUGCUCGGAAUGACUGGACGUAAAGGGCGCGUAGGCGGAUUGCGCAGUCAGAUGUGAAAUUCCUGGGCUUAGCCUGGGGGCUGCAUUUGAGACGCGUAGUCUAGAGUGUGAAAGAGGGUCGUGGAAUUCCCAGUGUAGAGGUGAAAUUCGUAGAUAUUGGGAAGAACACCGGUGGCGAAGGCGGCGACCUGGUUCAUAACUGACGCUGAGGCGCGAAAGCGUGGGGAGCAAACAGGAUUAGAUACCCCCGUAGUCCCUGUCUCUUAUAC
rnacentral:rRNA from 1 species